rnacentral:rRNA from 1 species
ACUCCUACGGGAGGCAGCAGUGGGGAAUAUUGCACAAUGGGCGCAAGCCUGAUGCAGCCAUGCCGCGUGUGUGAAGAAGGCCUUCGGGUUGUAAAGCACUUUCAGUUGUGAGGAAGGUGGUGUCGUUAAUAGCGGCAUCAUUUGACGUUAGCAACAGAAGAAGCACCGGCUAACUCCGUGCCAGCAGCCGCGGUAAUACGGAGGGUGCGAGCGUUAUCCGGAUUUAUUGGGUUUAAAGGGUCCGUAGGCGGAUUAAUAAGUCAGUGGUGAAAUCCCAUCGCUUAACGAUGGAACUGCCAUUGAUACUGUUAGUCUUGAAUGAGGGUGCAGUGGUUGGAAUGUGUAGUGUAGCGGUGAAAUGCAUAGAUAUUACACAGAACACCGAUUGCGAAGGCAGAUCACUAACCCUAAAUUGACGCUGAGGGACGAAAGCGUGGGGAGCGAACAGGAUUAGAUACCCUGUAGGUGACAAU